CCUACGGGGUGCAGCAGUGAGGAAUAUUGGUCAAUGGACGAGAGUCUGAACCAGCCAAGUAGCGUGAAGGAUGACUGCCCUAUGGGUUGUAAACUUCUUUUAUAUGGGAAUAAAAUGUUCCACGUGUGGGAUUUUGUAUGUACCAUAUGAAUAAGGAUCGGCUAACUCCGUGCCAGCAGCCGCGGUAAUACGGAGGAUCCGAGCGUUAUCCGGAUUUAUUGGGUUUAAAGGGAGCGUAGGUGGAUUGUUAAGUCAGUUGUGAAAGUUUGCGGCUCAACCGUAAAAUUGCAGUUGAAACUUGCAGUCUUGAGUACAGUAGAGGUGGGCGGAAUUCGUGGUGUAGCGGUGAAAUGCUUAGAUAUCACGAAGAACUCCGAUUGCGAAGGCAGUUCACUGGACUGCAACUGACACUGAGGCUCGAAAGUGUGGGUAUCAAACAGGAUUAGAUACCCCUGUAGUC
rnacentral:rRNA from 1 species